GAACGCUGGCGGCAUGCCUUACACAUGCAAGUCGAACGGCAGCACGGACUUCGGUCUGGUGGCGAGUGGCGAACGGGUGAGUAAUGUAUCGGAACGUACCUUUCAGUGGGGGAUAACGUAGCGAAAGUUACGCUAAUACCGCAUAUUCUGUGAGCAGGAAAGCAGGGGAUCGCAAGACCUUGCGCUGAUUGAGCGGCCGAUAUCAGAUUAGCUAGUUGGUGGGGUAAAGGCCUACCAAGGCUACGAUCUGUAGCGGGUCUGAGAGGAUGAUCCGCCACACUGGAACUGAGACACGGUCCAGACUCCUACGGGAGGCAGCAGUGGGGAAUUUUGGACAAUGGGGGCAACCCUGAUCCAGCCAUGCCGCGUGAGUGAAGAAGGCCUUCGGGUUGUAAAGCUCUUUCGGCCGGGAAGAAAUCGCAUAGGCUAAUACCCUGUGUGGAUGACGGUACCGGAAUAAGAAGCACCAGCUAACUACGU
rnacentral:rRNA from 1 species